UGUGAAGCCUUAAUUAGUGCUGUGCUGU
rnacentral:piRNA from 1 species